rnacentral:rRNA from 1 species
CGGGUGAGUAACGCGUGGAUAACCUGCCUCACACAGGGGAUAACAGUUAGAAAUGACUGCUAAUACCGCAUAAGCGCACGGUACCGCAUGGUACAGUGUGAAAAACUCCGGUGGUGUGAGAUGGAUCCGCGUCUGAUUAGGUAGUUGGUGAGGUAACGGCCCACCAAGCCGACGAUCAGUAGCCGACCUGAGAGGGUGACCGGCCACAUUGGGACUGAGACACGGCCCAA